ACCUGGCUCGAAAUCCAUCACUGCUGCUACUCCACCUCUCCGAACCGAAGAAAUAACGAACGUUUUAACACUGCACAUGCAUAUAGGUGAUAAAAUUAUGAUGAAUACGGCGUUAAGAGCUCAGCUCUCACUCCUCAUCGUCGUCGUCGUCAUUGUUUCCUGCGCCCGCAUUGAAGAAGGCAGAUGACACAUCCCAAAAAAGUAAUACAUUGCUCUUAAGGUAGUUAAGAAUUUAAAUAGUUUUAAAGCUGCGCUGCUGGCUGAUAUGCAAACAAGAAAUACAGCAAGUCAACACACAUUCGUAAAUCCAAACAAAAUACUGUGUUGCGGAUGAAGUACGUUCAUCAAUGGUUUAAAAAUGAUGGUGUGGGUAGCUGAACGCAAAAGCGCAAAACCUGCGAGAUUAACACUGGAAGCGAUUUAAAGCGAUAAACAGUCGAGAAUAGGGGAAAUGAUGGCGUAAAACAAAAAGCAAAAAAAAGAAACCUAAAAAGUGUCUUUUGAAAGUCAGCGGUUUCGCGUCUGGCGUAGUAUUAAGGUGUUGUGAAUGUUUUUAUCAUUUUUUAAACAAUGUAAUCUUAUACAAUUUAAAUAAUAUAUUAUAUAUAUUUGAGAAGAAUGGACGACAUGAGAUGGAAUAAUUAAUUGGAUAGAAAGCAAAACAAAACAAAAACAACAAAAAAAAAACAAACAAGCAAGACAUUUUGAAUAAGAACGCGAAAGCACAUUAAUAAUACAACAAAAUGGUCUUGACAAAAAUUACUAAAAAACAAAAAAAAAAACAGUAAAAAUUGAGACGAAACUUAAAGAAUGCUAUGUACGUGUAUAUAUGUACGUAGGUUCCAAAUGACUCGGGCCGGCAAGAUACAUUUCAAGUCAAAGAGAAAAAUCUAGCUCUAGUAAGCGAGUUAGGUCGGAGCAAAUUUGUUUUGUUGAUUUUUGUUUAACGAAAAAUACAAACUCUUCCCCACCCCUUUUUCUCUCCAAAGCGAGACAUAUUUUCCUUCCGCCUCAUCAUGAGAAAAUCUCAAACGAUGAUUUAGUAGUGAAACCACAGGGUGUGAUAAGAAUAAGAUAGAUGUUGCGGUGAGCGUUUAGCGAGAAGUUGACCAAAAUUUGCUUCUCUUGCAUUGUUGGUGAAAUGAUGAAGUAAUAUUAAACAAACGGAAGUGUGCUACAAAUGAAAUCGAAAGCUAAUAAUGUUAUUAUUGCUAUAAGUUAUUGUGUACUCGAUGCAUAUACAGAAUGUAGAUAUUUAGCAUUUGUCUUAAGUGAUUUUUCUCCUUUUUUUAUUUUUUUAAAACAUAAAUUAUAUCCAUCCACUUUCUUCCUUGUACGGAGAGUUGUCCCUCUUCUUUUUAUUUCUGUUUCUGAAGUUAUGGAAGAGACGGAAGAAACAGUACUAACUCUAAAUAGUGGAGGAAGAAUAACGCGAAGAACAGAGCUGUGGAAUAAUGAAAUACAUAAACAUAUAUCUACAUAUACAAUACAAUAUGGAUAUAUCAAAAGCAACAACAAAAAAACAUUUCCUUUUAUGACGCUUGUAGAAUCGGCUGUUUUGUGAAUAGAAGAGACACAAACAUUGCAUACACUCAGCCAAACAAAGCAAAUUAAUAAAGUGUAGUACACUAAGUAACUAAUACUAAAUCCACCCUGCCCCUUCCUCCCUCGGACCUGAUGUGAGGUCAUAAAUCACAUACGUAGCGCGUGCAUAAGAAUAGUGUCUAAGGAUGAUGUGUACCGUAAUGGAUAAGAACAACAAAACAAACAAACAAACAAAAAAAGAAAAAAAAAACGUAAAACCAAAACAGGAAAAUGAUAAAAUCAAAAACAAAAAAAAAGAAACUUAGCAUUAAGAAAUUAGUCAAGAAAAUGAGUAGUAGAAUGAUUCAUUCUACCAUUUUCUAUUUCAAUGUGCACCUUAUUUCGCGCUCUCAUCGCACAAGCGCGCCAUAUGCGACGUGCCGUUGCCUAGUUCUACCCGUGCCGUGCGUCCUACUUACCUUCGUUUUUUUUUGCGCACGGAAGCCAUGGGUUCUUCAGUGUGUAGCAACAUCAGCAGGUGUGUGUGUAUAAAGGAGACGUCUUGUGUCGACUGUCUCUCGCGUUUUUAUGCAUCAACGGCCAACGGUCCUAACCAAACGACAGCUAAGCCAGUAGCUAAUGUAGCUGAUUCACAAUUGCGCUUUCCAUAGACUUACACCGCACCGGUAAGAAUCGCCGCUCGCAUAUCUCCGUACCUCGUCGUCCAAGGUUCUCUAUUGUUUUUUUUUUAUGUUUACUGUUUUGCUCGGUUUUAGCUAUGACUGUUUUGUUUCUGAAAUAACAAUGUGAGAUUAAAAAGACCUGCAGAGAAAGUGAGCGAACGAAUUAAUAAUUUAACGUAAUAUAUAAGAUAUUGAAAGUACGUACCGCCGAGUGAAUGGAUGAGGGUAUGGAAUUAAACAAAAAAAAAACACGAACAUAAUAAUAAAAGUGAGGAACAGAAGAGAAACAGAGAGAGGGGAAGAGAAGUAAUCACAUAUGCCUAUCGUGUUAGUUGGACGAGGAAGCAGAAGAAGAUAAAAUAAAGAUGCACUUAUGAUAAGCAAAAUCAAAAACAAACUCAACAACAAAACCAAAUCGACCAGGAAAGACAUUGAGCAA